rnacentral:tRNA from 1 species
CAUUAUGAAGCUAACUCAGCAUUAACCUUUUAAGUUAAAGACUAGGAGUGUAAAUCUCCUCAUAAUGAA